UUUGAUUUGACUCACAGACAUUCACUAAGGAGCUCUUCUGAACAGCUGAUUUGCAUUAUAGCAUGGCAGCAUUUGUUAAGUAGGGCUUCCCACUCUACCAGGUCUGCCAGCUGGCACCAGAAAAGAAAGAGAAGAGACACAGAGUGGGAUUCAGGCUUUUGCCAUCUUGUCCUUGGUAACCGGGGAGGCCCUUGUCAAUGUGGUUGUCUGAGUAGCAAGCCCACGUGGGGAGAGAGGGGGAGCUGGCUGUGACUCCCUUAUGACUGGGCGCUGGAGAGCUACUGAUGGAAGGCGCUUGGAGAGUACAAAGCACUCUUGUUUCACGAAAAAAGCCUCUGCAGCCAAAAUCUGCUGAAAGCUUUGGGGAAAUUGAAGGUGGUUUUCUCUGAAAUGUCUUCCUCCUAACCACGUUGCUCUUUCUUGUUCCAGAAACCAGGGAAGUGGUGUGCUAUGCAUGUUCACAUCGCCUGGCAGAUUUACCACCACCAACAGAAAGUCAAGAAACAGAUGCAGUCAGACCCACAUAAGCUGGACUUUGGACUGAAA
rnacentral:sRNA from 1 species